UCGUAUUCCCUUGGCAUCCGCCACGUCUCCCCUGCCCGCUGUUGUCCUGUCAGGCUGUCGAUGUAUGCGUGACGGAGUGCACCGCUUCGGCCCUCGCGGGCUCGCUCGCUGCGUUGAUUGCGUUGAAGGGGAGACGACAGUGCAGUGCGCAGACACGCACACAAUCCAAGGCACGCUCUCAUUCACGGCUCGAGCGCCGUCCCAGCCGCCAUCCCUCUGCCGUCGCUGUCCGCGUCGCUGUGGGUCCGCUUGCUCCCCGGUGCGCCGCUCACGCCAUCACGCCAGCCGCCGUUCAGACCCCGCUCAAUCCCCCCCCAACGGCCACUGCCACCAUCACCACCCCACACACGCACGGACACACACAGCGUCGUCCUCGGCGACGUCCCUUGUCGUGCCCCCUCUGCUGUGCAGCACCCCUGCGCGUCGUUGUGUGGCUCACAGCAGUGUCGGUGCGACGCCGCACUGGGCGGGCGAAACGACUCGCACGGGGGAGGGCGGCCGCUGCUGCUGCUCCCCUGCGCCAUGCCUGUCGCAUUGUUUGGGGUGGCCCCCUCUCCACGGGGCCCUCGUGGGGGCGCUGCGGCCUCUCGUGGGAGGACGGGCGUGCACGCGGGCUCCGAUGGGCCCCCUUGUCUCUGCGCCUGGCUUGCUGGCCUCGCUCAGUGUCCCGCGGCCAGCCGUGCUGCGUCAGCGCACCCCUGCCCAGCUCAUGCGAACUGCGCACCCGUCAAGAGGCGACGGUGGCGAAAGGCGCGCGUGUGGCACGAGCACACACGCCGUCACUGCUGCCGUGGUGCCCACUCGCUUUCCUUGGUCCCUUGCAUGCAGCGUGCCUGCCUCGCUCUCAGCGAGGCGAAGUACUUUGCGAGGGGCGGACGGCAGGAGCGCCAACCAAAACUGCACAGAAGACGCGCUGCUGUGCGCGGUGGCGGUGCCGCUGGUGGUAGUCUGAACACCCGAGCAGCAGCUCAUGCGGCGGCGGACGCGGAAGGCGCACACUCCGUGCACGGAGUCUACUCCAACGUGCGCGGUGCAGCGCGACAUCACGUGACGGUCUCUGGUACUGCUGCCACCGGCGCGAGAGACAGAGACGCGGUCCUGCUGCGUCUCUCCGACUCGGAUACGGCGCAGGACGGGCUUCGGCCCGGUCAAGCAAGGGAGGGGGCGGUGGGUGGUCGAACGGCGUCUCCCGUGGGUGGAGGUGGUGUGACGCGGGAGUGCACCACGACGGCCGUUGCCGCCCCGAAAGCCGCCGUGAGCACGAGCGUCGGUCGUGCCGACCGCACAGACUCUGCCGCCGCCGCGCGUACCCCCGACCGCGCUUCGCACGGCCGUCAGCGUGGUCGUCGGAAGCGGCGCCGAUCCGCGCGACAACAGCGAGAAUCUCCAGAACCCACGGCCGCCGCAGACAUCAUCUGUCAUGUUGGACCCCACGCAAGCGAAAGCGGUCGAUUUGGCUGUACGCGGCUUCAACAUCUUCGUGACGGGCGGCGCUGGAACGGGCAAGUCGCAGACGCUGCGUGCCAUCGUAGCGGCGCUGCGAAGUCGCGAGGUGCACGAGUCUGAGGAGACCUUGCGUGCGGUGGCGAGCGCGGCCGAUUCGCCACAGCGGGGUGGCAGCGGCCGGCGUGCGGGCGCGAGGGAGUCGGAUGUGGCGCGAGAGGAGGGGCGGAGCGUGCAGCGUGGUUUCGCAGAGCCAUCACCGCCGUCUCGCCUGUCCGAACUCUCGCGCGCCACCACAUCCGUGUCGAGGUCGAGCCCGCGCUCCUCUUCGGCCGCCCGCGCUGUGCCGGCCCUGAGCAGCGUCUGCGCCACCGCCACGACGGGACUGGCAGCGAUGCAGCUGCACGGCGUGGCCAUCAACACGUUUGCCGGCGUCGGACCUGGUCGUGGAACCCCGGGGCAGCCGCUUCGCACGGUGCAGAAGAACGCGGAGGCGGCGCAGCGCUGGCGCCGAUGCCGCGUCCUGCUCAUUGAUGAGGUCAGCAUGCCGGAAGCCUCGCUCUUGGAGCCGCUCGACUACAUCGCACAUCGAGUGCGUCGAUGCACCAACGUGCCCUCUGGCGGCAUGCAGGUGAUCUUGUGCGGCGUCUCUUUCCAGCUGCCACCGAAUGCAGCCCGCGGGGGGGGCUGUGGUGCUGGCGAACGACCUCCUCGUCUCGCCCGUUAUGGACGCGGCGCCGCAAGCGCGUGGGCGCCCGCUGCCUCUCUCCCUCCCCCACCACCUCCCCUCGCACCCUCCCUUGCCUCUCCCUGUCCCCUCCCUCCCCAG
rnacentral:misc_RNA from 1 species